GACGAACGCUGGCGGCGUGCUUAACACAUGCAAGUCGAACGGUAAGGCCCUUCGGGGUACACGAGUGGCGAACGGGUGAGUAACACGUGGGUGAUCUGCCCUGCACUUCGGGAUAAGCCUGGGAAACUGGGUCUAAUACCGGAUAGGACUCCUGGCUUCAUGGUUGGGGGUGGAAAGCUUUUGCGGUGUGGGAUGGGCCCGCGGCCUAUCAGCUUGUCGGUGGGGUAAUGGCCUACCAAGGGGACGACGGGUAGCCGGCCUGAGAGGGUGACCGGUCACACUGGGACUGAGAUACGGCCCAGACUCCUACGGGAGGCAGCAGUGGGGAAUAUUGCACAAUGGGCGCAAGCCUGAUGCAGCGACGCCGCGUGAGGGAUGACGGCCUUCGGGUUGUAAACCUCUUUCAGCUAUGACGAAGCGCAAGUGACGGUAGUAGCAGAAGAAGGACCGGCCAACUACGUGCCAGCCGCCGCGGUAA
rnacentral:rRNA from 1 species